AACGAACGCUGGCGGCAUGCCUAAUACAUGCAAGUCGAACGAGACCUUCGGGUCUUGUUUCGCACGAGGGCGUAACGCGUGGGGACCUGCCCUUAGGUUCGGAAUAACUCCCCGAAAGGGGUGCUUUUACCGGAUAAUGUCUUAGGACCUAAGAUUUAUUGCCUUUUGAUGUGCGCGCGUUGGAUUCGCUUGUUGGUAGGGUAAAAGCUUACCAAGGCGACGAUCCAUAGCUUGGCUGAGAGGAUGAUCAGCGACACUGGGACUGAGACACGGCCGAGAUUUCUACGGAAGGAAGCAGUGCUGAAUAUUGGACGAUGGGGGAAAGCAUGAUCCAGCAAGGCCGGGUGAGUGAUGAAGGCGUGAGGGUUGUAAAGCGCAUUUAACCGGGAUGAUAAUGACGGUACCGGAAGAAUAAGCUCCGGCUAACUACGUG
rnacentral:rRNA from 1 species